CGGGUCCUGUCUCUGCCCACCUGGACAGAGAUCAGAGCUUGCCCAGAGCAGCUGUGGCUGCCCCUGGAUCCCUGGCAGUGUCCAAAGCCAGGUUGGACAGGGCUUGGAGCAGCCUGGGAUAAUGGAAGGGGUCCCUGCCCAUGGCAGGGGGUGCAAUGAGAUGAACUUUAGCGUCUCUUCCAAGCCAAGUAAUUCUGUGAUUCUGUGAUUUUGGGAGAGAGGCUGAAGCUCUGGCUCAGCUUUAUCUCCCCAGAUGUCUGGACCCAGCAGCAGCCAUGGGUGGGAUCAUCUCCUCCUCCCUCUCCCUGUAGCUGGAACUCACCCAACGGAGCAACUGAAUAAUGUCCCUCAUGGGCAGUGACUACCAGAAAGGAAUGUUCCUCCUUGGGGAAACACAUUGUCCUUGGAAUUCAGCCGAGCAUUGAAAUGGCCCCCUUGGUGUGGGAACUCAGUACAUUACUCCGGAUGUCCAGAGCUACCGAGACAACCCUUGGGGGGCUCGGAAGCCCUGGAAUGCUGCCAAAAGUACCUGGUGGCUUGACUUUGAUCCUUUUAAAGAAAUGACACCUGAAGGUGAGGAGAUGAGAAAAUUUCAUGUCUAAAUGGUGAGGGGAUGUUAUUCACUUGUUAGAACUUAAGUUAGAAUGCACUGUACAGGGGGGUUUUAUGUGUUGUACAGGGGGGUCUAGAAUUCUGUACAUGGAUCAGGAGUCCCAAGAUGGAGGAAUUUGGGCGUGCCCUGUCCUUCUUCUUUCUUCUCCUUGGCAUCCAUGUUCAGGAUGAUGUUGGCAUGUGUGGAUUGGUUCAUAGAAAGAGUACACUUGCCAACAAGGGCAGAAAGUAUUGGGAAGUAAAGGUAAAUAUCGAAUACGUAAUUUUCAUUAUAAAAGAGACAACCGCCUCGUGGGCGGGGGAGAGUGCCUUUGGCUGUCCUGCUGAACAGACCUCGGCUGGACAGACAGAAAAUCUUUGUAGAUAAGAAAUAAUAAACUCGACUGAAGACCGAAAGCAAGAGUCCAGACUCCUUCUUCGAGAGCGCGGCCUACCCAGAACCACUUUUUCCCGUGCUGGGGCAGAGACAAGCAACAGCCGACCCCGGCAUCUGGCGUCCCUGGGUGGGCACGAAGGGGGGCCCGAAGGUGGGCACGAGGAGCGACAGCUCGAGCGGAGAGCCGAAGAGUGAGCUGCAAAGAGAACACCCAGGUGGGCAGCACCCGAGCGGGCAGCUCCCAGGCGGGCAGUUCCCGGAGCUGGACUCAUUCCCAGGAGAACACUGAUAACUCCUUGGGAAGGCAGCCAGAAGAGUCCGAAGAAGCAGCAGCCAGAGAGAGAACACCGCACUCCACUUCUCCCGAAGAGACCUCGUAUCAGAACAGCCCGGAGCGGAAUCAGAAGGGCCCCUGAAUCCAUCUCCUGUGACCUGCUGGACGGGAACCGGGAGCCUCCAGACUGCUCUGACGACAUAAAUUCGAGCAAGGUCCGAAGUGGGUGUCGGCACGACACGUGAAGCCGUUUCGAACGCAAGAACAAAAGAACACAGAUCCCGGAAACAGAGAGACAAGUACUCAGACAGAGGAGGAGACUCAAACUACAGGCAAUAAUCUAGAAAAAACAGAAGAAUAAAAGACUUUGGGGGGUUUUCUGAAAAACUUUGGGUGGAAAAUGGUGAUAUUUAGUCAGAAAGGUGGGGUGAUAAACUUUGCAAUGUUCAUGUGUUUUGUCUCAUUGCCAAUGGUUUUGAAAAACAAAGCAAAUUUACCAGUCAAUCAGCCAGAGAAAAAUGUUUGGGAAGCUUUAGCCCAAGCAGCAGAUUUAGAUAGCAUUUGCCUGACGCACUCCAGACCAGGGAGGCCAUUUUCAGCAUGCAUGAUUGGAUUGCCAGUGAAUGAAUGGCCAAUUCCAGGACACACUGCAAUCGAGAUCUCACAGGUCGUUAAAGAUCCUGUGAAUGAAUGGUAUACUUGGACACAUUCUCUUCCUGUGGCUUCUUCUGAACCUCAGGAAUUGGAGAUUUUCGGGUCCAUGAUAAUGAAUGUAUGCAUGAAAUUGGAAGUUUCAGGUACAGCAAAGCCAAACAAAACUAUUGAUGUUACUCCCAGUCAUGAAUUCUACAGAAAUGCGUCAGCCUGGUGCAACAACACCAUGGUGACAGACAAAGGGUCACUCCAAGUCCCAGUGCAACUGCCAAGGGGAUUCUUUUUGAUUUGUGGAGACAGGAUUUGGCAUGGUAUUCCUGCGAAUGCCAAGGGAGGUCCAUGCGGCAUUGGAAGAAUUUCAAUGCUGACGCCAGAUUUAAAGAUGCAGAGAGAACAAAAACAUAAAGAAAAAAGAUCUUUACAAUAUUUCGAUGAGAAUUGUGAUGACAGGGUUUACACUUGGAGCAAGGCAAGGGGAAUUGCGAUAGCAAUUUUCUCACCUCAGGCAGCAUCAGGAAUUGCUUUGACUCAAUUGGAUCGUAUGGGUUGUUGGCUGAGCAAGCAUGCUCAAUCAGUCUGUCUUGCACUGAGUGACAUGUUACAAGACAUGAACAGUGUAAGACAGGCAACUCUGCAAAACAGAGCAGCAAUCAAUUAUCUUUUGCUUGCUCACGGCCAUGGGUGCAAAGAAUUUGAAGGAAUGUGCUGUAUGAAUCUCUCCGAUCAUUCCAGGUCAAUUCAUGAAAAUAUUGAAAAAAUAGAGGAGAGUGUGAAGAAACUUGGCGAGAUCACUGGAUCUUGGAUUGAGGACAUGGCAAAGUUUUUUGAUCUUUCACCUUUGGGAAAAGAAAUUUUAAAGAUAGGGUUUCAAAUUUUGGUGAUUCUCAUAGUUCUCUUGAUUGUAAUCCCAUGCAUUCUUUUGUGUGUGCGGGGUGUCAUGAGUCGAGUUGUAAAGAGGGUGCUUUUGGUGCAAACAGAAGGGGGAGAUGUGGGAAUUCAGUACAUUACUCCGGAUGUCCAGAGCUACCAAGACAACCCUUGGGGGGCUCGGAAGCCCUGGAAUGCUGCCAAAAGUACCUGGUGGCUUGACUUUGAUCCUUUUAAAGAAAUGACACCUGAAGGUGAGGAGAUGAGAAAAUUUCAUGUCUAAAUGGUGAGGGGAUGUUAUUCACUUGUUAGAACUUAAGUUAGAAUGCACUGUACAGGGGGGUUUUAUGUGUUGUACAGGGGGGUCUAGAAUUCUGUACAUGGAUCAGGAGUCCCAAGAUGGAGGAAUUUGGGCGUGCCCUGUCCUUCUUCUUUCUUCUCCUUGGCAUCCAUGUUCAGGAUGAUGUUGGCAUGUGUGGAUUGGUUCAUAGAAAGAGUACACUUGCCAACAAGGUCAGAAAGUAUUGGGAAGUAAAGGUAAAUAUUGAAUACGUAAUUUUCAUUAUAAAAGAGACAACCGCCUCGUGGGCGGGGGAGAGUGCCUUUGGCUGUCCUGCUGAACAGACCUCGGCUGGACAGACAGAAAAUCUUUGUAGAUAAGAAAUAAUAAACUCGACUGAAGACCGAAA